UACGUAGGGGGCUAGCGUUGUCCGGAAUCAUUGGGCGUAAAGAGCGUGUAGGCGGUCCGGUAAGUCCGCUGUGAAAGUCGGGGGCUCAACCCUCGAAUGCCGGUGGAUACUGUCGGGCUAGAGUGCGGAAGAGGCGAGUGGAAUUCCUGGUGUAGCGGUGAAAUGCGCAGAUAUCAGGAGGAACACCGAUGGCGAAGGCAGGUCUCUGGGCCGAUACUGACGCUGAGACGCGAAAGCGUGGGGAGCAAACAGG
rnacentral:rRNA from 1 species